GCCACCAUAUUAUAGUUGGUUAGUAUAGCAGUCUCAUAAUCUGCCAACCUGAGUUCGAAUCUCAGUGGCGGCA
rfam:Pseudocohnilembus persalinus scaffold472, whole genome shotgun sequence.